rnacentral:rRNA from 1 species
UACGGGGGGGGCAAGCGUUGUUCGGAAUUACUGGGCGUAAAGGGCUCGUAGGCGGCCAACUAAGUCAUACGUGAAAUCCCUCGGCUUAACCGGGGAACUGCGUCUGAUACUGGAUGGCUUGAGUUCGGGAGAGGGAUGCGGAAUUCCAGGUGUAGCGGUGAAAUGCGCAGAUAUCGGGAAGAACACCCGUGGCGAAGGCGGCUCUCUGGGACGGUACUGACGCUGAGGAGCGAAAGCGUGGGGGAGCGAACAGGA